rnacentral:rRNA from 1 species
CCUACGGGCGGCAGCAGUGAGGAAUAUUGGUCAAUGGACGAGAGUCUGAACCAGCCAAGUAGCGUGAAGGAUGACUGCCCUAUGGGUUGUAAACUUCUUUUAUAUGGGAAUAAAAUGUUCCACGUGUGGGAUUUUGUAUGUACCAUAUGAAUAAGGAUCGGCUAACUCCGUGCCAGCAGCCGCGGUAAUACGGAGGAUCCGAGCGUUAUCCGGAUUUAUUGGGUUUAAAGGGAGCGUAGGUGGAUUGUUAAGUCAGUUGUGAAAGUUUGCGGCUCAACCGUAAAAUUGCAGUUGAAACUGGCAGUCUUGAGUACAGUAGAGGUGGGCGGAAUUCGUGGUGUAGCGGUGAAAUGCUUAGAUAUCACGAAGAACUACGAUUGCGAAGGCAGUUCACUGGACUGCAACUGACACUGAGGCUCGAAAGUGUGGGUAUCAAACAGGAUUAGAUACCCCUGUAGUC